rnacentral:rRNA from 1 species
GUGGGGAAUAUUGGACAAUGGGCGCAAGCCUGAUCCAGCCAUGCCGCGUGAGUGAUUAAGGCCCUAGGGUUGUAAAGCUCUUUCACCGGUGAAGAUAAUGACGGUAACCGGAGAAGAAGCCCCGGCUAACUUCGUGCCAGCAGCCGCGGUAAUACGAAGGGGGCUAGCGUUGUUCGGAAUUACUGGGCGUAAAGCGCACGUAGGCGGGUAUUUAAGUCAGGGGUGAAAUCCUAGAGCUCAACUCUGGAACUGCCUUUGAUACUGGGUACCUAGGGUAUGGAAGAGGUAAGUGGAAUUCCGGGUGUAGAGGUGAAAUUCGUAGAUAUUCGGAGGAACACCAGUGGCGAGGGCGGCUUACUGGUCCAAAACUGACGCGGAGGUGCGAAAGCGUGGGGAGCAAACAGAAUUAGAAACCCUGGUAGUCC